rfam:Danio rerio chromosome 9, GRCz11 reference primary assembly.
GCCGGCAGCUAGCUCUCUGCAACUCUCACAUGGUUGCCCACUGAAGCUAAGCAGGGCUGCGCCCGGUCAGUACCUGGAUGGGAGACCACAUGGGAAAGCUAGGUUGCUGCUGGAA